AUUGAACGCUGGCGGCAUGCCUUACACAUGCAAGUCGAACGGCAGCACGGGAGCUUGCUCCUGGUGGCGAGUGGCGAACGGGUGAGUAAUACAUCGGAACGUACCCAGUAGUGGGGGAUAACGCACCGAAAGGUGCGCUAAUACCGCAUACGACCUAAGGGUGAAAGCGGGGGACCGCAAGGCCUCGCGCUAUUGGAGCGGCCGAUGUCUGAUUAGCUAGUUGGCGGGGUAAAGGCCCACCAAGGCGACGAUCAGUAGCUGGUCUGAGAGGACGAUCAGCCACGCUGGGACUGAGACACGGCCCAGACUCCUACGGGAGGCAGCAGUGGGGAAUUUUGGACAAUGGGGGCAACCCUGAUCCAGCAAUGCCGCGUGUGCGAAGAAGGCCUUCGGGUUGUAAAGCACUUUUGUCAGGGAAGAAAUCUUUCAGGCUAAUACCCUUGGAGGGAUGACGGUACCUGAAGAAUAAGCACCGGCUAACUACGUGCCAGCCGCCGCCGUAA
rnacentral:rRNA from 1 species